rnacentral:lncRNA from 1 species
UCGUUUUGUUAUUAAGGAAAAUCCAGAAAUUCCAAGAAAUCUUCCCUCACGCGUUUGGUUAACGAUAGUCAUUUAUCUAAUCACGACGCGUGAUUAACAACGUUCUCGAUAUCGUUCUGCAAAACACUGGCCAGAAGCUCUGGUAUCGGCAAAUCGAAUAACGAAGAAACGACGAUUCGCAAAACUUCUCGCGGGUAUCACGUCUCGGGACCACCAUCGAGCUCACCCGCGACGAGCACGUGAACCCAUACAUAAGAGUGCAACCGUCGUAUCUUCGACACGGCCCAACACUUAUAAAAGCAGGUAAUGCUAAUUCAAACAAAGUUAUCGUCCGAUAUAUAUAUAUAUAUAUAUAUAUACACAUUUAAUUCUUUUCUCAUUUGCAUAUGAGCGGCGCGCCACCGUCACAAUGACCCAUUGUCGAGGGGGUCCUCUACUUGAACGGGGACCAUCCAGGCCGCCGGGUUUCCAAUCGGUGACAAUUCUCUUAGGUGAAAUUAGAAACGCCCUUUAACUUUCUUGGGCUACCAACCCAACGUUUCGCACGAUGAAACGUUUUUCUUCCCGGAUAUUUUGGAAAUCGGCGAAGAAUGGUUAUCCAGCUGCGCGAACGAUUUCCAGUCUAGCAGGAAAGUUUUCCCUUUUUCUUGGUAGUAGGUUUCGAGGAGCACUCUUCCCAGAGAAGAAUUGUUCUCCCCAGAUUUGGCACGAGUUAAAACGGUUAUGGGAUCGCUUUGGGAAAAGUCAUCGAAUGUUUGCAAUGGGUUUCGUCAAAGUAGAGGGGCUUUGGUGGAAGAUAGAAGAUUUCCAUAAAUCGGAUUAAGCAUGCGAGCAACUUCACCUACGCGAAAGGAAGAAAAACGAAUAGAGAAAAUUUCAUGAUUGUACACGAUGGAACGAAAUAGCGUGAAGUUUGGAUUAUCUGCUAUACCCUCGUCAAAGUAGACUUCGAGAUUGAAUCCGAUAAGAGUUUCCAUGCUACGAUAAGUAUCUUGUGAAUACAAGGUUUACACCUCUGAAGGAGCAGCGAAGUGUACUUACGCGAAGGAUCAUCAUCUUUGGAAAAUUUUUAAUUUCGCAUAAAAAUAAACUUGUCGUGUUUCUCCUCCCGACAACAAAGAACUCUUGUUAACACACAAGAAAGAAAGAAAGAAAGAAAGAAAUAAGCGUUCUACGCUUCGCUCCAAAAAAAAAAAAAAAAAAAAUUAAUCUCUUUAAUAAAAGAGACGUUGAAGAAGUUAAUUUCACCGUGCGAACAUCGCUGAAACAUUUUUCGGCCCCAAUUUUCACCGCCGCCAUAAUCAUUUAAUUAACGCGUGACUUUCGCUCCGUAUAAUCAACCGAUAAUUACCAUUCACGGUAUCGGGCAGUCGCCAGAGUAGAUCGUAUCUGUACAACGGGCCACGUAACAAGAAAGGAAACGAGGAAGAGAGGACAAAGAAUCCGCCGAGUCAACGAAGAUAAUGACAAUUCCUCGUCCGGAACGGAAUUUCUUGGAGGGUCGGCCAACACCGGAAGUCGAUGUCCCCGCGGUGUUUCGGCGCCGUGCAUCCAACCACGCGGCCGUAUCGUAGAUAAUCUAUCGACGAGAAGCACCGGUAGCGGCCGUAGAUGCAGAUAGCCACGGGGGUUACGAUCCCCCCCCCCCGCCCCUCCCUCUCUCUAUCUCCUUUCGUUCGACGAACAGGUCUGCGCUCACGAUGAAGAGUAACGAUUCCCCUUGUUACAAUGGCAAAGGACGAUCCUCUGUUCGACGAGCCGCUCAUCCUUGGCAUUAGUCAUCGUUGGAUAGAACUUAACGACGUUGUCCUACAAUACCGCAAGAUGGAAAAUCGAAGAAUGGAUGGAAAUGUGUGAUUAGGAAGAUAGAUGUUUGAAGGCUUCGAAUUUACCGGUCUUGUAUUACUUGUAGACUGUAGAUUAUAUUUAAAUCGAUAGAUGAUGAAUUCAAUAUUUUGGUGGAUAGAUGUUUGAAAUGGAGAUGUUUCGGAGAAAUGAAUUGAUAUAUGAUACAUGAUCUCGUUUCGAAGAUCAUUUGAAUUAAUGGAAUAUUAUAUUUUUACUUACGUUUUUCAUUUCGUUUAAUGAGUGCAUUAUGAGGGCUGUAAAUUCUCGACUUUCCUCAUGUUUGUAACUUCGCGUUUGGAAACAAACAUAAUGUAACAGGCGUCGAGAAAGAAAAGAAAAUGUGCAAUUCAAUUAAGCAAAAGUAAUAUUAAUAACAUGCGUUACUUUUACACCUCUAUUCUCAACCUUUAUAACCUAUUCUGAACAAUUUUAUUCUCGACAGUUAUUAUAUACUUUCUCCUGAAAUACCGUUACGAAUUAUAUUUCCCAUUCGCGAUACGGAUGCACGUUUUACGUAUCGAGAAAUCUUUUAACGGUAAACGACUAUUUUAAUCCGUACAAUUGCAAAU